ACCUCCCGGCAGCCUUGCCAGGCCCAGAACUCUCUCCAGUCAGCCUCUACAGACCAAGCUCAUGACUCACAAUGGCCUAUUUAGGCCCAUAGCCUACCUCACGGCAGUCUCCGCAGAUGAGCCUACUGCCUCACAACAGCCUCCACAGGCACAGCUCCAUCGUUCCAAUGGCCUCUUUAGACCCAGCUCCUGCCUCCCAGCCUUGUCUCCAGGCCCUGAACUUUCUCCGGUCUCCCUCUGUUGUCCAAGGCUGGAGGGUAGUAGUGCUAUCGCAGCUGACUGCAGCCUCAACCUUCCAGGCUGAAGCGAUCCUCCCAUCUCAACCUCCCACGUGGCUGAGACUACAGGUGCUUGCCACUACGCCCAACUAAUAUUUGGUUUUUUCAUAUACGUGGAUUCCAGAGGGGUGACAGCGAAACGUGGGACCAUCCAGUUUCAGGAAAACAAGCUUAACACGCCCACUGAUUCUACAUUAUGGUG